UUCUGAGCUGAGGACAG
rnacentral:miRNA from 1 species